GCUGAAUACAAUAAACAGCAUCAUACCAGCCCAGAUCAUAAAAUUGGGCCGCUGUGAACGCCAUCUUGACGUGGUGCCCGUGCCCCCUGGCCCAGACUCAGAAGACCGUACAACAUCCCUACUCCCAAUCCCCAACAAAAGAGUCUGAGGCAAACAUUACCCAUCACAAACUUUACAAGAUAAUCUUCCGUAAGAGGAACUUAAAGCACAAGAUGUUUGCAUUAUAUGCCAUGCGUAGCUCCGACCAUUCGUUCUAGCUGCAUUUGCAAGUCAAGUUGCAUACUAAUUGAGAACCUGCCUCAUAUGGAUGAACUGAUGCCUCCAAACAGCUAUUGAAAGAACUGAAACCCUGAUGAA
rnacentral:lncRNA from 1 species